AUCCAACAACAGAACACCUCAAUCGCUUAGGAGCCAUUCUUCUCUACAUCUGCUCCGGCGUCAAAACAAUGGCGGAUUGAUGACAGCUCACUCAGGGAGGGUCUGAAGGUAAGA